UACGUAGGUGGCAAGCGUUGUCCGGAUUUACUGGGCGUAAAGAGCGCGCAGGCGGUCGUUCAAGUCGCGUGUGAAAGCCCCCGGCUCAACUGGGGAGGGUCACGCGAUACUGAUCGACUCGAAGGCAGGAGAGGGUAGUGGAAUUCCCGGUGUAGUGGUGAAAUGCGUAGAUAUCGGGAGGAACACCAGUGGCGAAGGCGGCAUCCUGGACCGGUAUUGACGCUGAGGCGCGAAAGCCAGGGGAGCAAACGGG
rnacentral:rRNA from 1 species